UCGGACGUGGUGCAUGGUGCACACCUGCUUGCAAUGAAAAAUCAGUUCUUGACCAAUAAGCAGGAGCCCUGGGUUCGAUUCCCGGCGUCCAAA